rnacentral:rRNA from 1 species
UACGGAGGGUGCAAGCGUUAAUCGGAAUUACUGGGCGUAAAGCGCACGUAGGUGGUUUUCUAAGUCAGCUGUGAAAUCCCCGGGCUCAACCUGGGACUUGCAGUUGAAACUGGAAAGCUAGAGUAGGGUAGAAGGGGUGUGGAAUUCCAGGUGUAGCGGUGAAAUGCGUAGAUAUCUGGAAGGAACAUCAGUGGCGAAAGGCGACACCCUGGACUCAUACUGACACUGAGGUGCGAAAGCGUGGGAGCAAACAGG